AGCACUCCGGUGACCUAGUGGUUAGUGCGCCCGCCUCUGAUGCGGUAGGUCGUGGGUUCGAUUCCCAGUCGUGUUA